UACAGAGGUGCCAAGCGUUAGGCGGAAUCACUGGGCUUAAAGCGCGUGUAGGUGGGUCGUUAAGUGUCCGCGUGAAAUCCCACGGCUCAACCGUGGAACUGCCGGGCAUACUGGCGAUCUUGAGGCAUUCAGGGGCGAGCGGAACAAGUGGUGGAGCGGUGAAAUGCGUAGAUAUCACUUGGAACGCCAAUGGUGAAGACAGCUCGCUGGGGGUGUCCUGACGCUGAGGCGCGAAAGUGUGGGGAGCGAACAGG
rnacentral:rRNA from 1 species